AGACCUGCUCGGGGCAUCAUCCUAUGGCAAUAGGAAUCUCACAUUGCGACAUCGCCUCUCUUCCUCCUGAGUCUCCUGUCUUGUUCCCAAUCCAUCUCCACCUGGAGCUCCACCUCGCUCUGGGCUCCAUCUGACUCCCGAAGCUCCAUCUCGCACUGGGCUCCCCAUCAGGUAAUAAUGUCCUCUCCUCCCUUUCUUUCCUUUCAGCACAAUCCUAUCACCACAUAGCACCCUCAGAAUUUUUUCACCAGCUACCAUCCUGUAGCCUCUCGAAUCCAGUAUGCUCAGUG
rnacentral:lncRNA from 1 species